AAAUUUUGGUUCAUCUCUCCUUAUUUUUGUUCACUGCUGCUCUUCAACAUUUGCUUCAUCUUCUUCUUCCUUAGCUAAAUCCAGCUGUUCUCGCUGGUGCAAUCCUAUCCACCCCGCUACUUCAUCCUCUACAACUGACCAUCACUUGUAGAGAUCCAUUUAUGAAGAUACCAGUUCACCAAACUUGCCAAUUCAUGAUGUAAGCUCCUUCACCAUGAUUUCAGCUUUCCAGGUACCCAAUCUCUCUUCAUUUCGUUAUAACUUCCUCUGAUUCUUGGGUUUUCUUUGAUGGUUGUUGGUGUACUUUCCUUUUCUUGAUUUCUGCAUUAUAGUAGAUCUUAUCAUCUCUUAGCUCGUACCCUCAGAUAAGGAAUUUGGGUCUUAUCAUUGCUUAAAAUGCUCCUAAGAUCACUAUCCUCUCUAGAAAAUGGUGAUAAAUGACCUGUACCUUCAUCCAAAGCAUGAUUUGCAAGUGCAUCUGCCAAUUUAUUGGCUUCCCUUAAGAUGUGUGUAUAUUGAACCUGCAUAUCCUAGGAUAGAACUUUGAUUUCUUCAAUCUAAUUCGCAAUACUCCAUGGUGGUUGCCACUCUUCUAUCAAAAUAUGUUGAACUAGCUUUGAAUAUGUCUAUAUUAUAAUGUUGUUCAAUUUCUUGCUUUGACAGAACUUCAUAGCUUCUCUCAUUGCUAGCACCUCAGUUUCUGUGUUUGUUGAAAAACCAACCUCUUUUGCUUGUGCAUGAAUUAAAUUCCCUUCUGCAUCCCUUAUACAAAAACCAAAUGAACGCCUGCCUAGAUUUCCCCUUGCUGCUCCAUUAGUAUUAAUAAUUAUCCAACCUGUAGGUGAUAACUUCCAAAGACCUUAGUAACUUUCAAAUUUGGUUUAAUCCUCUCCAAUAGUUGAAUCAGUGGAUCCAGUCUAUUUGGUAAUUGCCUUAUAGAGGGGUUCCUGAACUGUACCAAUCUAUAAAUUAUGGAGAAGAUCUGACAAAUGCACCUUCCAACAGUCCUUUUCUCUCUAUGU